AACGUAGGUGGCGAGCGUUAUCCGGAUUCAUUGGGCGUAAAGAGCUUGUAGGUGGCGGCGUAAGUUGGACGUGAAAUCGCCCGGCUCAACCGGGCGGGGUCGUUCAAUACUGCGCGGCUGGAGGAGGUCAGAGGGAAGUGGAAUUCCUGGUGUAGCAGUGAAAUGCGUAGAUAUCAGGAGGAACACCCGUGGCGAAGGCGGCUUCCUGGGGCCAUCCUGAUACUGAGAAGCGAAAGCUAGGGGAGCGAACGGG
rnacentral:rRNA from 1 species